rfam:Pear latent virus 33 kDa RNA polymerase pre-readthrough protein, 92 kDa RNA polymerase, coat protein CP, 22 kDa movement protein, and 19 kDa symptom severity modulator genes, complete cds.
GGUUUGUGAGAAGGUCGGAGUUGCCCACCGUUUUGGGUAUGAUGGGUUUCUAUCAUACUACAACGGUGCGAAGCUGCGUACUUACACGCGAGCC